ACGCUCGACACCUACGGAGCAGCAGUGGGGAAUAUUGCACAAUGGGGGAAACCCUGAUGCAGCGACGCCGCGUGAGUGAAGAAGUAUUUCGGUAUGUAAAGCUCUAUCAGCAGGGAAGAAGAUGACGGUACCUGAGUAAGAAGCCCCGGCUAACUACGUGCCAGCAGCCGCGGUAAUCUGAGCGGGCUGGCAAGGC
rnacentral:rRNA from 1 species